CGUUUCCGGAAUUCCCCUGGUAGAGUAUCGAACAAUGCACAUUUUUCAGUUAACGAUCGCUUGAUUAAGAAUCAUACACUGAGCCAAUUAAUCCGAUUAUAUUUAUCUGGAAAAUCAUAUACACGCAUCAGAAUUCAUAUUUGAUAGGUUUCAUUAACACCCAAUAAAGACUAUAUGAAGGUCCAAUGAGGUUUAAAUAAUAACCAUAUAGAAAUCGUUGGAAUUUCACAUAUAACUUAUUGGACAUCGUUUAUCCAUUAAAUCAUUGAAAAAUCAGAUUCAUGGUAUAUGAUUUUCUAUUGUGAAAAAAAUCUGUGUUUAUGUUUAGUGACACGAUGGCGGCCACUGCAUUCAUUUCGCUAGCAGAUAAAGGAUUUACGACGAAUUCUUGCAAGUUUUUAAAGAAUGUGGAACCAUUAUUUACUUCUCGUUGAAGAAUUGAGCUUCUAAUUCCAUACAACUGAGAACUUGAUGAAGUUCUGCUCGACGAUAUCUAUAGAUAUAGAUUUAUAUACCAACCAUGCUACAACAAAAAUCCCUUUUGUUCAAGUUCCAGUAGUUACUGUGAGAUGGCUUUGCAGGUAGUGGAUCCAAAUACCCGAAUCAUAAAAAAAUUUGAAGACUGGAGAAGUACUUGGCCCUUCUCAAACCAUGUCAACUAAUAAAUCUUUUUCGGUUAUUCUAAUAUUAUCUUAAAUAAAUAAUUUUAAAA